rnacentral:rRNA from 1 species
UACGUAGGGUGCAAGCGUUGUCCGGAAUUAUUGGGCGUAAAGAGCUCGUAGGCGGUUUGUCGCGUCUGCUGUGAAAACCUAAGGCUCAACCUUGGGCUUGCAGUGGGUACGGGCAGACUAGAGUGCGGUAGGGGUGACUGGAAUUCCUGGUGUAGCGGUGAAAUGCGCAGAUAUCAGGAGGAACACCAAUGGCGAAGGCAGCUCACUGGGACGGUACUGACGCUGGAGAACGGCGAAAGCCGUGGGGAGCAAACGG